CCGCGGCCCCGAUUGACGCGAAAAUCCUUUUGCGGCCGAGCGCCAGCGAGGCCGUAAAAGAUUGCAGCAGAAAGCGGGAAAUGUC
rnacentral:sRNA from 1 species